UCUUCAAAUUCAUCUCCAGUACUAAUUUCGUAUAAUAACAUAAGACAUCAACGUUGCUUCCUCACGUGACACCAGGAACAUAUUACCAUUAGAUGGAAAUACAACAAUAUAUUACCGUAAUUGUUUCACAACAAGUUUAGAACAGAUAAAAUAUAUUUUAAUUAUAAUGGAAUAGUAUGAUAUAUAGUAAUUAGUAUAGGUAAUAGCGUGUUUUCGAGUGCAAUUUGGAUAUAACAUGCACGAGUGAGUUAUUCAAAGACCGCAAAAUAGCACGAGUGUUUGAAAAACUCACGAGUGCAUAUUUAUCCAAAUUUCACGAGUAAUGUCCAAUACAGGCAUCUGAUGUCUGAUGGUGAAGAUGGUGUAUGGUGGUGUAUGAUCGUCGAAGUGUGUAAGAUGGUUGUCAGGGGUCAAUCGGUUUAAUAUAUGAAUACGUACAAAUGAAG
rnacentral:lncRNA from 1 species